rnacentral:rRNA from 1 species
UUAAGCGACUAAGCGUACACGGUGGAUGCCCUGGCAGUCAGAGGCGAUGAAGGGCGUGCUAAUCUGCGAUAAGCGCCGGUAAGGUGAUAUGAACCGUUAUAACCGGCGAUACCCGAAUGGGGAAACCCAGUGUGACUCGUCACACUAUCAUUAACUGAAUCCAUAGGUUAAUGAGGCGAACCGGGGGAACUGAAACAUCUAAGUACCCCGAGGAAAAGAAAUCAACCGAGAUUCCCCCAGUAGCGGCGAGCGAACGGGGAGGAGCCCAGAGCCUGAAUCAGCAUGUGUGUUAGUGGAAGCGUCUGGAAAGGCGCGCGAUACAGGGUGACAGCCCCGUACACAAAAGCGCAUGUGCUGUGAGCUCGAUGAGUAGGGCGGGACACGUGGUAUCCUGUCUGAAUAUGGGGGGACCAUCCUCCAAGGCUAAAUACUCCUGACUGACCGAUAGUGAACCAGUACCGUGAGGGAAAGGCGAAAAGAACCCCGGCGAGGGGAGUGAAAAAGAACCUGAAACCGUGUACGUACAAGCAGUGGGAGCCCCACCACCAAAGCAUUCUCUGGUGUUGAAGGCCCUGCAAAGCAGCAUCGCGGUGGCGGAGCGUCGUUUGCGACGCCCAACACACAAAACAAGCGGUGAAUGCUUUGGGGUGGGGUGACUGCGUACCUUUUGUAUAAUGGGUCAGCGACUUAUAUUCUGUAGCAAGGUUAACCGAAUAGGGGAGCCGGAGGGAAACCGAGUCUUAAUUGGGCGUUAAGUUGCAGGGUAUAGACCCGAAACCCGGUGAUCUAGCCAUGGGCAGGUUGAAGGUUGGGUAACACUAACUGGAGGACCGAACCGACUAAUGUUGAAAAAUUAGCGGAUGACCUGUGGCUGGGGGUGAAAGGCCAAUCAAACCGGGAGAUAGCUGGUUCUCCCCGAAAGCUAUUUAGGUAGCGCCUCGUGAAUUCAUCUCCGGGGGUAGAGCACUGUUUCGGCUAGGGGGCCAUCCCGGCUUACCAACCCGAUGCAAACUGCGAAUACCGGAGAAUGUUAUCACGGGAGACACACGGCGGGUGCUAACGUCCGUCGUGAAGAGGGAAACAACCCAGACCGCCAGCUAAGGUCCCAAAGUCAUGGUUAAGUGGGAAACGAUGUGGGAAGGCCCAGACAGCCAGGAUGUUGGCUUAGAAGCAGCCAUCAUUUAAAGAAAGCGUAAUAGCUCACUGGUCGAGUCGGCCUGCGCGGAAGAUGUAACGGGGCUAAACCAUGCACCGAAGCUGCGGCAGCGACGCUGAUGCGUUGUUGGGUAGGGGAGCGUUCUGUAAGCCUGCGAAGGUGACCUGUGAGGGUUGCUGGAGGUAUCAGAAGUGCGAAUGCUGACAUAAGUAACGAUAAAGCGGGUGAAAAGCCCGCUCGCCGGAAGACCAAGGGUUCCUGUCCAACGUUAAUCGGGGCAGGGUGAGUCGACCCCUAAGGCGAGGCCGAAAGGCGUAGUCGAUGGGAAACGGGUUAAUAUUCCCGUACUUGGUGUUACUGCGAAGGGGGGACGGAGAAGGCUAUGUUGGCCGGGCGACGGUUGUCCCGGUUUAAGCGUGUAGGUGUGUGUUCCAGGUAAAUCCGGUUCACUUUAACACUGAGGCGUGAUGACGAGGCACUACGGUGCUGAAGCAACAAAUGCCCUGCUUCCAGGAAAAGCCUCUAAGCAUCAGGUAACAUCAAAUCGUACCCCAAACCGACACAGGUGGUCAGGUAGAGAAUACCAAGGCGCUUGAGAGAACUCGGGUGAAGGAACUAGGCAAAAUGGUGCCGUAACUUCGGGAGAAGGCACGCUGACACGUAGGUGAAGUGAUUUACUCACGGAGCUGAAGUCAGUCGAAGAUACCAGCUGGCUGCAACUGUUUAUUAAAAACACAGCACUGUGCAAACACGAAAGUGGACGUAUACGGUGUGACGCCUGCCCGGUGCCGGAAGGUUAAUUGAUGGGGUCAGCGCAAGCGAAGCUCCUGAUCGAAGCCCCGGUAAACGGCGGCCGUAACUAUAACGGUCCUAAGGUAGCGAAAUUCCUUGUCGGGUAAGUUCCGACCUGCACGAAUGGCGUAAUGAUGGCCAGGCUGUCUCCACCCGAGACUCAGUGAAAUUGAACUCGCUGUGAAGAUGCAGUGUACCCGCGGCAAGACGGAAAGACCCCGUGAACCUUUACUAUAGCUUGACACUGAACAUUGAGCCUUGAUGUGUAGGAUAGGUGGGAGGCUUUGAAGUGUGGACGCCAGUCUGCAUGGAGCCGACCUUGAAAUACCACCCUUUAAUGUUUGAUGUUCUAACGUGGACCCGUAAUCCGGGUUGCGGACAGUGUCUGGUGGGUAGUUUGACUGGGGCGGUCUCCUCCUAAAGAGUAACGGAGGAGCACGAAGGUUGGCUAAUCCUGGUCGGACAUCAGGAGGUUAGUGCAAUGGCAUAAGCCAGCUUGACUGCGAGCGUGACGGCGCGAGCAGGUGCGAAAGCAGGUCAUAGUGAUCCGGUGGUUCUGAAUGGAAGGGCCAUCGCUCAACGGAUAAAAGGUACUCCGGGAUAACAGGCUGAUACCGCCCAAGAGUUCAUAUCGACGGCGGUGUUUGGCACCUCGAUGUCGGCUCAUCACAUCCUGGGGCUGAAGUAGGUCCCAAGGGUAUGGCUGUUCGCCAUUUAAAGUGGUACGCGAGCUGGGUUUAGAACGUCGUGAGACAGUUCGGUCCCUAUCUGCCGUGGGCGCUGGAGAACUGAGGGGGGCUGCUCCCUAGUACGAGAGGACCGGAGUGGACGCAUCACUGGUGUUCGGGUUGUCAUGCCAAUGGCACUGCCCGGUAGCUAAAUGCGGAAGAGAUAAGUGCUGAAAGCAUCUAAGCACGAAACUUGCCCCGAGAUGAGUUCUCCCUGAGACUUUAGGUCUCCUGAAGGAACGUUGAAGACGACGACGUUGAUAGGCCGGGUGUGUAAGCGCAGCGAUGCGUUGAGCUAACCGGUACUAAUGAACCGUGAGGCUUAACCUU